rnacentral:rRNA from 1 species
AGAGUUUGAUUCUGGCUCAGGAUGAACGCUGGCGGCGUGCUUAACACAUGCAAGUCGAACGAGGGCGAUAGCAAUAUUGCCCGAGUGGCGGACGGGUGAGUAACGCGUGAACAAUCUGCCUGUAUCAGGGGAAUAACACUAAGAAAUUGGUGCUAAUACCGCAUAAGACCACGGAGAGGCAUCUCCCCGGGGUAAAAGAAUAAUCGGAUACAGAUGAGUUCGCGUCCCAUUAGGUAGUUGGUGAGGUAACGGCCCACCAAGCCGACGAUGGGUAGCCGACCUGAGAGGGUGAUCGGCCACAUUGGAACUGAGAUACGGUCCAGACUCCUACGGGAGGCAGCAGUGGGGAAUAUUGGGCAAUGGAGGCAACUCUGACCCAGCAACGCCGCGUGAGUGAAGAAGGUUUUCGGAUUGUAAAACUCUUUAAGCGGGGACGAAGAAAGUGACUGUACCCGCAGAAUAAGCAUCGGCUAACUACGUGCCAGCAGCCGCGGUAAUACGUAGGAUGCAAGCGUUAUCCGGAAUGACUGGGCGUAAAGGGUGCGUAGGUGGUUUGUCAAGUUGGCAGCGUAAUUCCGUGGCUUAACCGCGGAACUACUGCCAAAACUGAUAGGCUUGAGUGCGGCAGGGGUAUGUGGAAUUCCUAGUGUAGCGGUGGAAUGCGUAGAUAUUAGGAGGAACACCGGUGGCGAAAGCGACAUACUGGGCCGUAACUGACACUGAAGCACGAAAGCGUGGGGAGCAAACAGGAUUAGAUACCCUGGUAGUCCACGCC